AACGAACGCUGGCGGCAUGCCUAACACAUGCAAGUCGAACGAAGGCUUCGGCCUUAGUGGCGCACGGGUGCGUAACGCGUGGGAAUCUGCCCUUGGGUUCGGGAUAACAGUGAGAAAUUACUGCUAAUACCGGAUGAUGACUUCGGUCCAAAGAUUUAUCGCCCAGGGAUGAGCCCGCGUAGGAUUAGCUAGUUGGUGGGGUAAAGGCCUACCAAGGCGACGAUCCUUAGCUGGUCUGAGAGGAUGAUCAGCCACACUGGGACUGAGACACGGCCCAGACUCCUACGGGAGGCAGCAGUGGGGAAUAUUGGACAAUGGGCGAAAGCCUGAUCCAGCAAUGCCGCGUGAGUGAUGAAGGCCUUAGGGUUGUAAAGCUCUUUUACCCGGGAAGAUAAUGACUGUACCGGGAGAAUAAGCUCCGGCUAACUCCGUGCCAGCCGCCGCCGUAACAC
rnacentral:rRNA from 1 species